rnacentral:rRNA from 1 species
GGAUGAACGCUAGCGGCAGGCUUAACACAUGCAAGUCGAGGGGUAACGGGGAAGCUUGCUUCCGCCGACGACCGGCGCACGGGUGCGUAACGCGUAUACAAUCUACCUUAUACUGGGGUAUAGCCUUUAGAAAUGAAGAUUAAUCCCCCAUAGUCUCUUAGAGUGGCAUCACUUCUAGAGUAAAGGUUACGGUAUAAGAUGAGUAUGCGUUCUAUUAGUUUGUUGGUGUGGUAACGGCACACCAAGACUACGAUAGAUAGGGGCCCUGAGAGGGGGAUCCCCCACACUGGUACUGAGACACGGACCAGACUCCUACGGGAGGCAGCAGUGAGGAAUAUUGGACAAUGGAGGCAACUCUGAUCCAGCCAUGCCGCGUGUAGGAUGACUGCCCUAUGGGUUGUAAACUACUUUUAUACAGGAAGAAACCCCGCUACGUGUAGCGGUUUGACGGUACUGUAAGAAUAAGGAUCGGCUAACUCCGUGCCAGCAGCCGCGGUAAUACGGAGGAUCCAAGCGUUAUCCGGAAUCAUUGGGUUUAAAGGGUCCGUAGGUGGAUAAUUAAGUCAGAGGUGAAAUCUUGCAGCUCAACUGUAAAAUUGCCUUUGAUACUGGUUAUCUUGAGUUAUUAUGAAGUAGUUAGAAUAUGUAGUGUAGCGGUGAAAUGCAUAGAUAUUACAUAGAAUACCAAUUGCGGAGGCAGAUUACUAAUAAUCAACUGACACUGAUGGACGAAAGCGUGGGUAGCGAACAGGAUUAGAUACCCUGGUAGUCCACGCCGUAAACGAUGGUUACUAGCUGUUUGGACUUCGGUCUGAGUGGCUAAGCGAAAGUGAUAAGUAACCCACCUGGGGAGUACGUUCGCAAGAAUGAAACUCAAAGGAAUUGACGGGGGCCCGCACAAGCGGUGGAGCAUGUGGUUUAAUUCGAUGAUACGCGAGGAACCUUACCAGGGCUUAAAUGUAAGUUGCAUUAGUUAGAGAUAGCUAUUUCUUCGGACCACUUACAAGGUGCUGCAUGGUUGUCGUCAGCUCGUGCCGUGAGGUGUCAGGUUAAGUCCUAUAACGAGCGCAACCCCUGUUGUUAGUUGCCAGCGAGUCAUGUCGGGAACUCUAGCAAGACUGCCAGUGCAAACUGUGAGGAAGGUGGGGAUGACGUCAAAUCAUCACGGCCCUUACGUCCUGGGCUACACACGUGCUACAAUGGUAGGUACAGAGAGCAGCCACUGCGCGAGCAGGAGCGAAUCUAUAAAACCUAUCACAGUUCGGAUCGGAGUCUGCAACUCGACUCCGUGAAGCUGGAAUCGCUAGUAAUCGGAUAUCAGCCAUGAUCCGGUGAAUACGUUCCCGGGCCUUGUACUCACCGC